rnacentral:rRNA from 1 species
AACGAACGCUGGCGGCAGGCUUAACACAUGCAAGUCGAGCGCCCCGCAAGGGGAGCGGCAGACGGGUGAGUAACACGUGGGGAUCUGCCCAAUGGUACGGAAUAACUCAGGGAAACUUGUGCUAAUACCGUAUGUGCCCGCAAGGGGAAAGAUUUAUCGCCAUUGGAUGAACCCGCGUCGGAUUAGCUAGUUGGUGUGGUAAAGGCGCACCAAGGCGACGAUCCGUAGCUGGUCUGAGAGGAUGAUCAGCCACACUGGGACUGAGACACGGCCCAGACUCCUACGGGAGGCAGCAGUGGGGAAUAUUGGACAAUGGGCGCAAGCCUGAUCCAGCCAUGCCGCGUGAGUGAUGAAGGCCUUAGGGUUGUAAAGCUCUUUCGCCGACGAAGAUAAUGACGGUAGUCGGAGAAGAAGCCCCGGCUAACUUCGUGCCAGCCGCCGCCGUAACAC